rnacentral:rRNA from 1 species
CGAUACGUAAUGUGAAUUGCAGAAUUCAGUGAAUCAUCGAGUCUUUGAACGCACAUUGCGCCCCCUGGUAUUCCGGGGGGCAUGCCUGUUCGAGCGUCAUUACACCACUCAAGCCUGGCUUGGUAUUGAGCGCCGCGGCCUGCCCGCGCGCUCCAAUGUCUCCGGCUGAGCCGUCCGUCUCUAAGCGUUGUGAAUAGCGAUCGCUUGCGAGGCCCGGGCGGUUCGACGCCGUUAAACCCCCCAUUUUCUAUGGUUGACCUCGGAUCAGGUAGGGAUACCCGCUGAACUUAAGCAUAUCAAUAAGCGGAGGAAA